ACAACGUGCUUGUGCCACGCAAAUCCCAGCCCCCCUUCAACAGCCAAACCCACUGGAAAUGGCAUGGAGCAGCCCCAAGCUUUGGGCAGUUGUAGCCCCUGACAUGCCCAGAGCCCUGUCGAGCAGGUGUUUUCCUUCAUGACUGUGCACCAGUGGGCUGCAUUUGGCUACCUACAGCAACUAUGUGCUGCUGCACUUGUGAAUAUUCAUCCUCUGCAGUGGCAGCCAUAAAUUCAGAUUUUUGACUGACUGAAAAGGGCACCACUUUUAAAUCUAAGUGUCGUCUAGCAUGAGAGUAUGAGUCUCCGUUCACACGAUAGAAAUGAUUCAGCCUUACAGCUACUUUGUAUGGAUAGAGAGUUAAAUGUUUAGUGAUGUUUGCAUCAGGAAGCACCAAGAUCCUGGCUGCAUAUGCCUGUGUUACACAGAAACAUCAAGUGGGGUGCAGUAAAAAGGUGCCUACCAUGGAA